CGCAACCCUUGUCCUUAGUUACCAGCACGUUAUGGUGGGCACUCUAAGGAGACUGCCGGUGACAAACCGGAGGAAGGUGGGGAUGACGUCAAGUCAUCAUGGCCCUUACGGCCUGGGCUACACACGUGCUACAAUGGUCGGUACAAAGGGUUGCCAAGCCGCGAGGUGGAGCUAAUCCCAUAAAACCGAUCGUAGUCCGGAUCGCAGUCUGCAACUCGACUGCGUGAAGUCGGAAUCGCUAGUAAUCGUGAAUCAGAAUGUCACGGUGAAUACGUUCCCGGGCCUU
rnacentral:rRNA from 1 species